AAGCUUGGGCGCCUGACUCUCGAAGCGAUUGAUAUUCUUUUCUCAUGGCGGUUUCUUCUUCACCCAUUUUUUCAACCAGACAUCUCUGUCUGGGUUUUCGUUGUAGGCAAAUGUUUUCACCCCACUAAUAUUAACACCAAUUUAGUCCUUUGCGGGCUAUAUUAAUGUGCAAGCAAAUAAUGGUAUGGUUAAUUUAAUCUUGCUCCAUUUGUGGUUUGUAGAGGAUGUGAUUGCGCCGGGUUGAGAGAUAUCAGGAAGUGCAAUAACCAAGUAGUUAACCUAGUAAAUAACACUUAUUUUGGAUACUGAACUUAAUCAGC
rnacentral:sRNA from 2 species